rnacentral:rRNA from 1 species
UGGGAACCUGCCUUUAGGUUCGGAAUAACGCCUCGAAAGGGGUGCUAAUACCGAAUAAUGUCUCGGACCAAAGAUUUAUCGCCUUUAGAUGGGCCCGCGUUGGAUUAGCUAGUUGGUGGGGUAAAGGCCUACCAAGGCGACGAUCCAUAGCUGGUCUUAGAGGAUGAUCAGCCACACUGGGACUGAGACACGGCCCAGACUCCUACGGGAGGCAG